rnacentral:misc_RNA from 1 species
AUACGAACAACAUGAGGCCACUUGACAAACCUAGUCAAGUCUUUCUUUGGUGGCAGUGCACCCCCAAUUCCGAACUGCUUUGUUCGCUUCUCAAACAAAGGAUUCACAACCUUUUCAGGUUUCUUCUUUGCCAAAACUGGGGCCUUGACAACUUUUUUGGGACCCAUGUGGGAGAAGAGAUGCCCAGAAAACCCUAGCUGUCGUUGAAAGAAAGGGCG